rnacentral:rRNA from 1 species
AUCUAUGGCCAUACCACCCUGCAUGCACCUGAUCUCAUCUGAUCGGGGAAGCUAAGCAGGGUUGGGCCUGGUUAGUACUUAGAUGGCAGAGAUG